GAAAUCAAUCACCAGAAAGUGGUUAAAUCCAACAUCACCUACAUUGGAAGAUCGCAUCUGCCGGAAUCCAGAUGUAGUUAUGACUUGCUGCUCCACUGCAAAGUCCCUUCAAGGUUCUUUUGAAGACCCUGACCUGGAGUUACACUCCGA